AAGUUUUUAUCGGAUACCAGCUGUGAAAACCAAUGCAAGCAAAAUAUUGCAAGAUUUACACAAGGAACGUCGCUCUUUGUGGCUUCGAAGAAUUCGUUGGGCAGACAUUGAUGAUUCUAAAUGCACGUAUUUACGAGUGUGUAGCCUUCAUUUUGUUACUGGAAGCCAUCGGCUUUAACGGACCAAACUAAUCAAGACUGGGCUCCAUCUCAAAGCCUUGGACAUACAUAUGUGGAAAAAGUUGACGUCGAUCGCUAUGCUCGUACUUCGGAAA